rnacentral:tRNA from 2 species
GGCGCCGUGGCCAAGUGGUAAGGCAGAGGACUGCAAAUCCUUUAUCCCCGGUUCGAAUCCGGGCGGCGCCUCCA